AGCUCCACUGGCAGGUGCAGACGCCUCCUGCUGGGGGUCAUGUCCAACAUCACCAGGAUCUGGAAGGUCCAGUCCCCAUUCCAAAUGAGGGGCGUGGACACAACAC